CGGCGACAGCGAGCGUCGGUGCUGCUGGCCGGCUGGAAUGCCAGGCGCCUGGCUACGCGACACAGCGCGUGCUCUUCUCUGCACAUUCGUUUCGUGUCGUACCGUGUGCGAUACUGUGUGCUCCUGCCCCGUGUCACGGCACCGUCUGCGACUCUGAAGCACCACCGGGCAGUGGGAAGCGGUGAACGUGCACGCUUUAUGCUCCAACGUCCGCGCACUCUCGGAUAACACUUUCUUUCGGGGGGUCCUCUUCGUACACUGCGGACUACAAUAUUUGUGAUCUUUCUUCUCACCUGAGUGCUGCUGAAAGUCCAUUGGGGCUGCUCGUCUACUCGCGCAGAUGUGAACGCCACGGAGUUAUUCUGGAUUAACGUAAAUGAUCCUCGUUUGCUUGCGUAGCCCCUCGAAUGACCAUUGGGAUUACCGCAAGCAUGAUGAUUCAGGGAUUAUCGUUAUCUUGCGGAGUGCGCCUAAGCUGCAUUGAUGACGGCGGUCAGUGAAAGACUGUUCCGUCCGGGAAACCCGAAAUAGCGCCUGUUUUUCUGAGUGUAUAACUGUCACGUGAUCGACCAUUGGCGUACACUGUCACUGCCAUAGAAGUAAUCCCUGCUACGCGAAGUCAACCCGUGCAGUUCUGCAUCAGACCUAGGCAAUUCGCUUGCCCUGCAAGCCUGUUGCCCUCUUUUUUGUACGGGUGCUUCAACAGAAGAAGUCGUGAAAAGAUUGUGUUGAACUUCGCGUAGUGGAUCAGUUCAAUUUGCAGCAUUUUUUUGGUGACUAAAGCACGAUUGAAUAACACCAUGAGGCGGGUGAUCCUCGAGUCAGUUUUGCUGUGCCUCGUCGUCGGGCUUGAAGUGAAGGGGAAGAAGCACGUGACGGAGAUGGCCCCCACGGCGAGCAAUGCAUCUGUGUUCCUGCCCGGACCAGGGUGAGGACCAGAUGAACCCAGCACUUCCACCACUUGAAACGGGCUGUUGAAUAAGCAGGAGUUGACUCGGCGAAGGAGAGCUUUAUUUAGCGCAAGGGCUAAUUGAACGCAAGCCUGCGAUCACAGCAAGUCUUCUUCCUUUUCUAUACUCGAGCUCCAUGCCCACUGCCCUCGUUACAUAUCAUACACCUAUCCUAAUUUGAAGCGACCAGGGGAUGCUGUGGAUAACUCGGACUUGAAGAGGCCAGGGGGGCCCUCUAGGCUUAGGCAAGAAUUGCCUUCAACCUGAAAAGGCAGUCAGUCAUCCAGGUCUGGUGGGUCCUAUCAGUGUUAUCCUGUAUGAUCCGAAAUGGUCAUGUUUUCAUAAGACAAGCAUGCUUUUUGUGGGAGAGGCUUGCUAGGCAAGGCAUAAUUAACCUCUCAUUAUGUACAUCUCUUAGUGGAUGUGUUUUGUACAAAGAAAAGCUUUCAAAUGUAAAUAUAGCAAUGAUUUAAUUGGUGUGGAUGUGUAAGUGAUGUGUACUGUCCAUAGAGAUAAUGAUUACUCACCGACUCCAUGGGGAUCAGUUCAAUUGAGAAUAAAAAAAAUGCGAAUGAGUCAUGGUGUGCAACAUUCCUUGGUUUGUGAAAGGCAAGAUAUGGCACCAUAGUGCAUGAUGUAGAAGUUCAAUAAAGAAUGAUGAUAUGACCAA